UAUCUGGAUGCGAUGGCUCCAUUUCUGAAGUUUCUUCCAGAUGCAGUUGGGAGCGUUAUCAGUAAACUAUUUGAUCUUCUUACUUCCCUUCCGUUUGCCAUCAAGGGUACUUCGACAUUUAGUGCACGUCAUGCAAGGUUACAGAUUGGCACUUCAUUUAUCUGGAUAGCAAAAGCUGCUGACAAAAGCACUUUGCCUCACAUGAAGGCUUUUAAAAAUUCAAAAUUGUCUUUGCUGGUGUCAUCGAGUUAUUUCUGAAACUUAGCAACGAAAGCAGAAGUUACAGACGCGAGCAAAGGUUGAAGUGAGAAGAACAUUAACAAGACUACUAAAAUUGCUAGCCACACAUUCAACAUCAUCCUUGGUUGCUGCUAGAUCUCAAAAUUAUUCUCUUAUGGUGUUGUUGAAUCCGAACCCAGCUCAAGGCUUCUAAUUCUUUGAUGCCACCAGGGUGGGGCUUCCCGGUGUCAAUCCUACACCCCCACCUCUGGCUGCUGCCAUGGCUUUUUCUUUUACGGCCACCACCGCCGGUGUCAAUAUGGCUUCCUACGAGGGGGAUUUGAGCAAGAAAAUCCAAAAACCAUAUACGGUUACCAAGUCCAGGGAGAGUUAGACGGAGCAAAAGCACGGCAAAUUUCUCAAAGCUCUCCAAUUUCAUCUAGUGCUUGGAGAACUCUUGAAAUCUAAUGAUCACAAUUCAGAAGAGGCUUAUAUUCCCUUUGUCAGUGCGGUGAGUUUCACUAAGGUAAUUUCUUGUAAGGUGGUCUAUCAAUGCUAGAAAUGGCUUUGUUGCUUCAUGAAUCAAAUUGUCAUGCUUUUUUACUUGGCAGUAGUUUGAGCAAUAUUUGAUAUCAAGAAUGAUUUUGUUUCACGUAGGUUACAUCUACAGUUCCAUAAUCCAUAUGUAAUUUCAGUUCUUUGUUCUAUAUUAAAAGAAUGUAAAAAGAGCGGAAAUAGAUUUUAUACUUUGUAUGUUGAAUUUUUGAUAUUGUGUAGUGUUUCUAUUUGUUAUUCUGAACAAGUUAUCAAGAGAAUGCCGUUUCAGCAGCUGAUAUGUUGUUGACAUUGUUAA